rnacentral:rRNA from 1 species
AGUGAACGCUGGCGGUAGGCCUAACACAUGCAAGUCGAACGGCAGCACAGUAAGCGCUUGCCCUUACGGGUGGCGAGUGGCGGACGGGUGAGGUAUACAUCGGAACCUACUUUUUCGUGGGGGAUAACGUAGGGAAACUUACGCUAAUACCGCAUACGACCUACGGGUGAAAGCAGGUGAUCUUCGUAACUUGCGCGAUUGAAUGAGCCGAUGUCGGAUUAGCUAGUUGGCGGGGUAAAGGCCCACCAAGGCGACGAUCCGUAGCUGGUCUGAGAGGAUGAUCAGCCACACUGGAACUGAGACACGGUCCAGACUCCUACGGGAGGCAGCAGUGGGGAAUAUUGGGCAGUGGGAGCAAGCCUGAUCCAGCAAUACCGCGUGGGUGAAGAAGGCCUUCGGGUGGUAAAGCCCUUUUGUUGGGAAAGAAAAGCAGCAGGUUAAGACCCCGCUGUUAUGACGGUACCCGAAGAAUAAGCACCGGCUAACUUCGUG